GACAUCAUAUUUACACUGUGUUCAAACUUGAUUAGUUUUAUAUAUUUCUCAACCUUAAAAACAUCGUUUCUUUCUCCAGGUAGGCAGUAUACAGGUAUGCUAUACGUCAGUGUACUGGCUGCAGGAUGUGGCAUGUUUAAACUUUUAACUUCAGCAGUCUUCGAGGGAGGAAGUUUCUAAUUAUUUUGAAAACCACCCCAUACAUCUCUUCAAGGUUGUUGCUGUGCCUGCAUGACAUGACAUCGCAUGAAUUUUUAGAAAUGGCAGCCGAUUGUGCUUGGUUAUCCAGAAGGGCCAAGAUUCAAGAUUCGUGUCUUUGGAGAAGUGCCAUAUUGACAACCUUGCUGAACAAGGAAUCCACUUUUUUUUCUACAUCAGGAUAAUCUUUUGUUAAAGGUUCCAUUAAAUGAAUGUUACUCUAAAACAUAGAUUGGGCAAUUAGCCAAUCUGCAUGGAGGUAUUCAAAGAAAAUCAUGUUGAAAUGUCAAUAUUUUAAAAUGCAGGUUUUUUGCGAGUUCCCUGCAUAUAUUCACGAACAAACGCUAUUCAAGUGUCCCUUUCAAGUGUUAUUCUUUUUCAUAGACUCUGUAGCUACAAAAAGACCAAAACAAUUCCUUUGAGUUUUCUUUUGAAGAUGUUCCAUGGGAGAGAAAGAAAAUGAAGGAUCUAGAUAGAGGACAGAUUUAAAAAGCAUGUGAUUCAGUACAUUAAAAGUUGUCGGAUCUAUUUUAUUUGUUCGAUGUGAAAGUCGCCUUCCUAUACUAUAUUUCUCAUCACGGACAGUUGAAAACACUAAUGUUCAAAUACUAUUUGAAACCAUACUUUUGCUGGAAUGUACGUUACGUAUAGCACUGUGUAAAACCGGUGAGUGGCUAGGUCGCCGAUAAUAGCCCUUGCAUUCCGGCUCUGGCUAUAUUAUUGGCGACCAGACCCUUUAUCUUCUAAUUGCUCAGUAACAACGUUAUUGUCUUGUUAAAAGGUCGGUUCAUACUCUGUGAAGUUACGGCAAUUCACUUUGUGAAGUUACGGCAAUCAUUAACGCCAACGCUAAAAAAUUGGGG